CUUAGCCUCAUUUUUAUCGCCGUUCUGACUUAUUGUCGUUUUUAUCUUGCCGUUUUUACUUCUUGCCGUUUUGGUCCAUUGCCGUUCUGGUGAAAGAGUGUUGCCUUUUUUUUUUUGCCGUUUUGGUCAUUGCUGUUUUGACUUAUUGCCGUAUACGGUAGGUUUAUUGCUGUUUUGACCAGAAAGCGAUUAAACCGUAACCAACACAAACAACAGCGCUAAUUUGAUAUUCUUCACAGGAAGGAGAGCCUCUACAAAAGUUUCAUGAAACUGCCAUGGAUGGACUGGCAGUUUUGAAAAUGCGGUUGAUCCGUCCACAAAAUUCAAGACUAUUAAAGUUAAGGAGCCUAUCUUCAGAUGCAAACCCCAAUGAGCCACCAAAAUUCUUCAGUUUUAUUGCCAAUAUAAAGAAAUACUUUAAAAAUUUAAAGUGGGUUCCAAUCCCAUUGAGUGUUGGAUUUGGAUAUAUAUGCUAUCAGCAGUAUUCACAUAUAAGGAAACGUGAACUUAAACAGGCGUAUAAUGAAGUUGAUCCCCAAGAAUCAUUACUAAAGGAUUGGCAAAGACACAUGCUGUUGCAUUGGUGAGGCUGAUAAGAAAAAGUAUUAUUAUGGCACGUCUAGGGCCGGAAAUUAUGGAAUUGAUACAGCUGGGUAGACUGAAGCAAUGUAGCUAAAGUGCCUUGCCCAAGGACACAAGCAAAUCUGCACAGCGGAGACUCGAAACCCCAACCUUACGAUUGAGAGCCCAAACCUGAACCGCUGCGCCAAACUGCCGUGCAAGAAGAGACUAGACUUAAAGAUAUGGCAAAAAUGAUUGGGAAGUAGAAAGUUAACAGAAGAAUAUAAAAAGACAUUGUUGUAUAAGAUUGAUAUCGUUAAAGUUAAGAAGGUUUAGAUUACUGAAUAAAUGAGAGGAGUCAGACCUCGGUGAUGCGCCAGAUAUAAUCCAGAUCCCCUUUUUUUUUAAAAGAAAUACGAGUUUAUGAAAAUUGGAUGGGUACCGUAAGCAUUAGCCUAGACAAAAUUACAAUAGCCCUGAUAAGGUAAAAUGAAAGAGCAAUAAAGAAUCGGUAGUAUUUUUAAGGAAUAAAUAAGGACAGUCUAAAAAUGAUACCAAGGCUUUUGGAGACUUUGAUUCAAUCUCAUUAAUUUGAGUUUUCCAUGUAAGGGAGCUAUCGAGGAAAACUCCAAGAAAUGUAUCACUUUCAACAGAAGUUAUUUUAAAAUUAUCUAUGAAAAUACUAAAAGAGGAGGAGUCAAUAAACCUAUUCUUUUGGGAGCUUCUAAACAGAAUGAAGCUGCAUUUUUUGUGAAUAAUUGAAAGUUAUUAUUGGUUGAAUAAAAAACAGUUUCAUCAGCGUAAAGAAAGAAAGAAAGAGAAAAUUAGAGGAUCGGUAAAUGUCAUUAAUAUACAGAAUAAGUAAAAGAGGACCUAAUGAUGAACCCUGGAGAACAUAGCAGAGAAAUUAGAAACAUGAUUUGCGUAUUUGGUACAUUGGAAACGAUUUGAAAGAUAAGUUUAACGUGGGACCCAGAAUGCCAUAAUGUGAAAACUGAACCUUGUGUUGGCAAGCCUGGAAACAAGGGACAAGAGAACAGUAAAACGAAACAAGAAGCAACAUAAACAGAAAAGACAUGAGGUUGUA